AGAGAAGCAAGACUGUGAAGAGGAGCCAAACUCAAAAACCGGUCCCAGUUCGGAUUGUAGGCUGCAACUCGCCUACAUGAAGUCGGAGUUGCUAGUAAUCGCGGAUCAGAAUGCCGCGGUGAAUGCGUUCCCGGGUCUUGUACACACCGCCCGUCGCACCAUGGAAGUUGGGGGCGCCCGAAGUUGGUCGGGAAAUAGAUUACCUAAGGCGAAACCAAUGACUGGGGUGAAGUCGUAACAAGGUAGC
rnacentral:rRNA from 1 species